GAUGAACGCUGGCGGCGUGCCUAAUACAUGCAAGUCGAGCGAACGGACGAGAAGCUUGCUUCUCUGAUGUUAGCGGCGGACGGGUGAAUAACACGUGGAUAACCUACCUAUAAGACUGGGAUAACUUCGGGAAACCGGAGCUAAUACCGGAUAAUAUUUUGAACCGCAUGGUUCAAAAGUGAAAGACGGUCUUGCUGUCACUUAUAGAUGGAUCCGCGCUGCAUUAGCUAGUUGGUAAGGUAACGGCUUACCAAGGCAACGAUGUAUAGCCGACCUGAGAGGGUGAUCGGCCACACUGGAACUGAGACACGGUCCAGACUCCUACGGGAGGCAGCAGUAGGGAAUCUUCCGCAAUGGGCGAAAGCCUGACGGAGCAACGCCGCGUGAGUGAUGAAGGUCUUCGGAUCGUAAAACUCUGUUAUUAGGGAAGAACAUAUGUGUAAGUAACUGUGCACAUCUUGACGGUACCUAAUCAGAAAGCCACGGCUAACUACGUG
rnacentral:rRNA from 1 species